rnacentral:rRNA from 1 species
UUUACACAUGCGAGUCGAGCGAGAGGACCCUUCGGGGUUCUGGAGACCGGCGGAUGGGUGAGUAACGCGUAGGUAAUCUGCCUACAGGACGGGGAUAACCCACCGAAAGGUGAGCUAAUACCCGAUGAUGCAGCGGGGCCGCAUGGCCACAGUUGUUAAAUCCUUCGGGAGCCUGUAGAUGAAUUUGCGUGCCAUUAGCUAGUUGGGAGGGCCAAAGCCUACCAAGGCAAUGAUGGCUAGGGGGUCUGAGAGGAUGAUCCCCCACACUGGGACUGAGACACGGCCCCCACUCCUACGGGAGGCAGCAGUGAGGAAUCUUGCGCAAUGGGGGCAACCCUGACGCAGCCACGCCGCGUGCUGGAAGACGGCCCUAUGGGUUGUAAACAGCUUUUACUGGGGAAGAACCUGGACCUUUCGAGGACCACUGACGGUACCCAGUGAAUAAGCACCGGCUAACUCCGUGCCAGCAGCCGCGGUAAUACGGAGGGUGCAAGCGUUGUCCGGAAUCAUUGGGUGUAAAGGGUGUGCAGGCGGAAGUCUAAGUCGGAGGUGAAAUCUUGCCGCUUAACGGUAAAAGGGCCUUCGAAACUGGAUUUCUUGAGUUCGGAAGAGGUUGGUGGAAUUCGUGGUGUACCGAUGAAAUGCAUAGAUAUCACGAAGAAGACCGGUGGCGAAAGCGGCCAACUGGUCCGAUACUGACGCUGAGACACGAGAGCGUGUGUAGCGCACAGGAUUAGAUACCCUGGUAGUCCACGCUGUAAACAAUGCAUGCUAUUUGUUGUCCCUUUGGAGGCAGUGACGCAGUUAACGCAGUAAGCAUGCCACCUGUGAGUACGUUCUCAAGAAUGAAACUCAAAGGAAUUGAUGGGAGUCCGCACAAGCGCUGCAGCAUGUGUCUUCACUUCGAUGCAACGCGAAGAAUCGUUACCCUACGCUAAUAUCUACGGGCGACCGGCCAUGCGAAAAGGCGGGCUGCUCAUCGCUGCGCCCAGCGUAAAGAUGCUGCAUCGCAUGCUCGUCAGCUCGUGCCGAUGGAGCAGCUGGAUAAGUCCUGUCAACGCAGCGCUACCUCUGUGGUUAGGUUACUAGCACGUAAUGCCGCAUCUAGCCUAGAUCUGGCCAUAGCCUAGUUAGCUGGAGGAAA